GUGCAAUUCUGGCAGGGGGGCAAUUUUCCGCACAACACCGGAACGCAUAACUGAGGAGCGGAGGGGUGGGUUCAGUCAACCUGGUUGCUUGAGCAUGUCUUUUUACCUGCUAGCUCCCGCAGCUUGACUCAGCGAAUGGAGCAAAUCGACGCAAAUGAAGCACAUCGGUAGCGCAAAUGGCGGACAAUUAACAGGCUGGGUGUCAUGAAUCCCUGACUGGCUGCUCCACUGCCACCGGAGAGAAGAUGAACACUGCAGCCUUUGUGUGUCUGGGACAAAGCCGGCGCUGUGAGUGGGGACUGCCAAAGCCUGGCAUGGUGAAGGAGACGUUCCACUAAUGCAGAACCUCGAGGAAGGACAACCCUGGAUCACCACAACAGACUGUCCUGCUUCCAAGAAAUAACAGACAAAUACGGUUCCUACGUGAGCUGUGGAUCUCCACUGACCAAUCUGACCCUCAGUCAAAGUUGAGGCCCUCAGGGACACACCUGGCCCUUGGAAACGGAGGUUCCAUGGUUUCCAGGGAAACAGGUGUGGAAAGAAACCCUAUCUACACAGGGUGGGGGUGGGGCUGAGGGCUUAUGAAUGCCUGCUUCAGAUGCACACGGGGCGACAGUGUGUGAGAAAGAUGACCUCCUUCCUCCCCCCUUUACUGUAGACAUAUCUGGCAUACUUUCAGGUUUACUCUCCCUCUCUCUCCCUGUCUUUCCCUCCUCUCUCACCCGGUCUC
ensembl:lncRNA